UACGGGGGGUGCGAGCGUUGUCCGGAAUUACUGGGCGUAAAGGGCGCGUAGGCGGCCUUCUAAGUCGAACGUGAAAUCCCCGGGCUCAACCCGGGAACUGCGUCCGAUACUGGAAGGCUUGAAUCCGGGAGAGGGAUGCGGAAUUCCAGGUGUAGCGGUGAAAUGCGUAGAUAUCUGGAGGAACACCGGUGGCGAAGGCGGCAUCCUGGACCAACACUGACGCUGAGGAGCGAAAGCAUGGGGAGCGAACAGG
rnacentral:rRNA from 1 species